rnacentral:tRNA from 5 species
GGGUAGGUACCGAAGUAGUCAAACGGGUCUGACUGUAAAUCAGAUGGCUACGGCCUUCGGGGGUGCAAAUCCCUCCCUGCCCA